rnacentral:lncRNA from 1 species
CUAAAAUCAAAAUGCAUAUGAAUUUCUAUCCAUCAAAUAGUGCAGUUAUUUUAAUGUGUUUGUGGGGUACUUGACAUGUCAACGUGUUAUUAAUAGAUUGGUCUCCUGAACAAUGAGAUCUCUCUGGGAUGCUGUAGGAUGGCUCCUCAUCCUCCUGCUAGCCAGGAUUGCCUUUCAACAUCAGCUGAAGGACCCACAAUAAGGUUUUGGAAGCACA